CUCUCAUGGCACAGAUUAAACAUUAUCCCAGAUCUAGACUGUGCUGUUGAAUACUUUCAGUCUGAACUCCUAGAAAUUUGGAAUUUGCAUGCCCCGCUGCGUAAGGUGAGUGUAAAAGGACCACAUAUGAACUGGAUCACAGCUGACCUCAUCCAAAUGUACCAGUUUCGGGAUUCUUUGUGGUCAAAGUUUAAGCGUACUGGCUCUAUGAAUGAUCACUGUGCAUAUAGACAAUGGCGAAAUAUAUGCACAAAACAGACAAAACUGGCCAAGGCCCAAUAUUUCUAGGAAAAUCUGAACAG